UCCAGAAAGGGUGCGCUCCGGGAGCGAGGGGACUGCUCUGAGUUGCCGCCGGGUGAGCCAGCUUGCUGCCGGGCGAGCUCCGCACCGCACCGCACCGCUCCGCACCCCUCCGCACCGCUCCUCCUGCCGCUGCCUCUCGCCGCAGCCUCGGCUCCGGCUCCGCUCCGCUCCGCCCCGGCCGCUCUCGCUCCGGCUCCGCGUUAUCCCUUGCAGAGUCUCCGCUGCUGCUGAUGCAUCAGAGCGAGGGGCUCUCGCUAUUCGCCUUUUGCAUAAAGGUUUUUUUUUUUUUUCCUCCUCUCUCUCUCUCCUCUCUCUCUUUUUGCAGCUUGCAAACUGCAGCUGGAAGUGUUAGCUGGUGUUGUUGCGAGUAAAUCUCUUUUCUUUCUUUUUUUUUUUUUAGGUUCAGUUUGGUUAUUUUUAACACUUCAUGGUGCCUUUCCUCUGGGCUUUCUCAUGCAAAGUGCAAAGCGAGGAGAGAGGUUCAUCGGGGAAAGGAGGAGGGAGAAGAGACCGAAGACAAAAAAAAAAAAUCAAAGUCGAUAUCGCAACCAAAAUAAUAACAAUCAUAAAAAAAAAAAAGGAGAGAGAGAGAAAAAAAAAAAAAAAACACAACUCAACCCCAAAGCUACGGCAAGAAGAUGAAAAAUAUUUUAAAGGUUUCAUCCAGCAGGAGAGUUUAAAAGCAUUGCAGAGUUUUAUAGCGCUCCUGACGUCAGCCUCCGAAUGGCAAAUUGGCUGGGCGGGCGGCCCAAUGGGCUGCCUGCAGCCGCCGGCAUUAGCAUAAUAGUAUAGAAACAAGGAAACUUUUCGGGGCUGUCAAUCAGGGCGCAAUCAGCUGACUGUCAGCUGGGAGCGCCGUAACCCCUUCCUGCCCGCCCCGUUCACCGGGGACCGGGCACCGGGCUGGGGCCGCUCCUCCCGCCGGGACGCGCCGUCGGGUGUCCGCCCGGCUCCGCUCCGCUCCGCUCCGCGCUGCCUUGCUUUGUCCUGCUUUGUCCUGCUCUGUCCUGCUUUGUCCUGCUCUGCCCCGGGGUGCGGAGCCCCCGGGUGCUCCUGGCCGGCCGGGCACCCGAGGGCACCGGGGGACUUGGCCCGGGGGCGUGCGGGGACGGCCCGAGGGAGGGGGCUGCUCCUGGGGGCUCCGCGGGGCUCGGCGGUGCUGCCGGGCUCAGCCGGGCUCCAUCCACUACCUGGUGCCGCUACCGAGACCCCCGGGCCGCCCCCCGGCGGCGGCGGCUCCCCCCUGGGUCUGCCGCUUGCUGCCGGCAGCGAUCGUUCCCCGGCCGUCCCCAGCAGAGAGCCUCCCCUCCCGGUGCCCCCCGGCCGGGGCUGGAGGGGGGGGAGCCGUGCGAGCGCGGAGCGGGCUGCACCCGGCGGUGCCGAGCGGCGGCGGAGCGGCUCCGUUCAAACCUCGACAGCGCCAUCUCUCGUCGAAAGGUCAGUGCCGAGGCCGUCCCCGGCCGGCGCCGAGCCGCGGGAGCAGAGCCGAGCCGUGCCGGGCCGUGCCGAGCCGUGCCGUGCCGUCGGGGCCCCGCCGUCGGGGCUGGCCCGGCCCGGCCCGGCCCGGCUCAGGUCGGCUCGGUUGGGGUCCCUUCUUGGCCCCCCUUGGGCCGGGGAAGCCCGCAGCCUGCCGAGCUGCCAGGCUCGCUUUGUCGAGCGGGCUUUAUGGGAAUAUCGAUAGAAUUAAAGUUACUUGUAAUUCCGUGAUAAAUGAGAUGUCUCUAGUAAGUAAGAUUAAGUGCGGUGCUAUAAAGUUGUUUAUCUGA
rnacentral:lncRNA from 1 species